CCCGGUCGUUGUGACUUGCGCCGGUUGUUCAGUUACUUGUAGGUUCGGAUCGAAGGGCGGUUUGAGGUUGAGAGCUCUGUACUAUGUCGAUUCGACAUCCACGCGUAGCUUGCCGUUAAUAUGAAAAUUCCAGGAGAGCCCGGAGUGGUCAGGUAGUCUAAGAAGGAAUUCACCGGAUGAGGACCAAAAGGGAGCAUCCAGAAGUUACUACGUUGAUCUGAUCAGUAGCUAGAUAGCGCGUGUGAAUAGGCGGAGCGUUACAAGCCAGUCAAUAUCGCACGGCCAGUU
rnacentral:SRP_RNA from 1 species